rnacentral:lncRNA from 1 species
AAUCUUGUUUCUAAAAUGCUAGACCUAUGGUAGAUGCUGGAAGAAGAAGUUAUAACACAAGUCCUGCCAUAAGGAAGCGUUGUCUUCAGAUAUGAGAUAGGAUCACUCAGGUAGAUUAUUCAAGGUAAUUGCUGACAGCACAUAGGUAGUGCCAUAUGAAUGCACAGAAAUUCGUGCAACAGGGAGUGGGUACUUAGACUUUGAGUGGAGGGAAGGAUUCAAGUAAGAAAGGGUGUAUUUUUUGGCAGGAAAUGAUGUGAUGAGAGUAUGAAUGUAUACCCUUUUCUAGAAGGAGCACAUGCAGGCCACAUGGCUGGAGCAUUGCCCUAUUUGUGUAGCAGAACCUGACUGAGGUCUGGAGGUAGAGAUCACAAUACACAACUGAACACCUGAGCACCAGUAACCAUUGUUGAUAUUCUUGCUGCUGAACUAAUUACACACACACACACACACACACACACACACACACAGAGUCUCUUAUACACACAUGUGCACAAUACCCAUUACCCAUAUCUGAAAGUGAUACAACAGAGAUGUUGAUCAGGCAUCGAUGCAGGGAAGACUGACACAGAGCAGGAAAGUGCUAAUGACCAUCCUCACAAAGCAAACACGGGUUUGAGUUUCUACUGCAGUCAUCAGUAACAGGGUGCCUGUCUGCAGAAGGCAAUUACUACACUUCCUAUCGGCUUCAAGCAUUUUAUUUUAUAUUUUUUUCUAUAAUCAUCUUCACUUUCUCCUGUGUCUUCAUAGCAAGGUUAAUCUUUUCAUUCGGGCCCCAUUUCCUUCAGCUUUCCCAUGGAAUAAAUCUUCCUAUGCCACAAUCUUAAUGUUGUAGAGAUGAAAGGCUUUGCUUUUCCCUCUCUACCUAAAUUAACAAAAGACUCACAGUGCAAGGCUGGUGACUUGCUAGGAUCUGAGUAUAUACAUUCUUUCACCUGAGAAGCUGGAAAUAUUAACUCAAAUGGUACAAUCUAAAUAAAAACAGAUUGCUCAAUAUCAAGUAACUUACUUCACAUGGGAAACCCAACCCAAAUGGGAAGAAAAGGAUCAUAAAAAUAACAAUGUCUAGGAAGAUUUUAUUUCAAAAUAUAGUUCAUGGCCUUAUCUAUUCACUCCUUUGUUUAUUAUUGAUUGAUUGAUUGAUAGACUCUGUCUUUAGGUUACAAUUGCUAUGAAGAGACAACAUGACUAAGGCAACUUAUCAAAGAAAGCAUUUAAUUGAGAGUUUGCUUACAAUCUCAGAGGGUUAGACUAUGUUCAUCAUGGUAGGGAGGCAGGCAGGCAUGUGCUGGAGCAGUAGCAGAGCACUUGCAUCUGAUUCACAAGAUGGAGAGAAAGAGAGAGAGAGAGAGAGAGAGAGAGAGAGAGAGAGAGAGAGAGAGAGAGACAUGAAGUGGGCUUUUGAAGCCCCAGAGUCCACCUCCAGUGACACACUUCUUCCAACAAGGCCAUAACUCCUAAUGCUUCCCAAACAGUUCCACUGACUGGGAACCAAACAUUCAAAUACAUGAGCCUAUGGGGACUUUUCUGAGUCAAACCUGUGGCAGGAUUUUCCCUCUCCAAUUACAUUAAAAUUUUAGUGCAGCAGGAGGCCUGUGAUUGGACAGGGAAAAGGGAGGUAUAGCUAAGAGUUGAGAGAUGGGAUGGAGGGAGAGACAGGAAGCAAGAUCUAUGGACAGGAUGAUGCAGAACCAUCAUGGCUUUGAAUAGCCAUGGGUAGAUAUGCUACUAUAUUGGGAUAAAAUAAUUGGGGUAACUUGACUAAUCUAGGUGGGCAGCUUGUAUCAGUAUCAAUUGGCACAGAAAUUAUUGUGUGGCCAUCUUGUGAAUUGAGAAUUUAUUGAUAUAUAAAUCUUACUGGUUAAUUAUAAGCUUCAAGACUUUUGUUUUACUGUGUUACUGGAAUAUGGUACCACAGACCAUAGGGGUUUGUGGUUUUAGGAACAAGCCACUGAGGCAAGCGAACUGGAGCUAGGAAGACUGCAAUCAAUUGCUGCAUGGGGCUAGCCAUGGAGGCAGUGGGGUUGGCGGGGUAGAGAGUAGCCGGACUUAGUGCGAAAACUUGUUCUCUUUUAAUGUUUCCUGCAAUACACACCACUAUAGGUUCUUACCAGACAGUGUAGUCUAAUCUUGAACAUACAAUCCUCCUGCCGUAGCUGCUAGAAUGCUGGGAUUAUAGGCAUGUACCUCCAUUCCUGACAUUGCUUUAAAACAAAAC